rnacentral:rRNA from 1 species
CCUACGGGUGGCAGCAGUGGGGAAUAUUGCACAAUGGGGGAAACCCUGAUGCAGCAACGCCGCGUGAGUGAAGAAGUAUUUCGGGAUGUAAAGCUCUAUUAGCAGGGAAGAAAAUGACAGUACCUGACUAAGAAUCCCCGGCUAACUACGUGCCAGCAGCCGCGGUCAUACGUCGGGGGCAAGCGUUAUACGGAUUUACUGGGUGUAAAGGGAGCGUAGACGGCGGCGCAAGUCAGAAGUGAAAGCCCGGGGCUGAACCGCGGGACUGCUUUUGACACUGUGUAGCUAGAGUGCAGGAGAGGUAAGUGGAAUGCCUGGUGUAGCGGUGAAAUGCGUAGAUAUUAGGAGGAACACCGGUGGCGAAGGCGGCUUACUGGACAGUAACUGACGCUGAGGCGCGAAAGCGUGGGGAGCAAACAGGAUUAGAUACCCUUGUAGUC